GUCCUACGGGGGGCAGCAGUGGGGGAUAUUGCACAAUGGGGGGAACCCUGAUGCAGCGACGCCGCGUGGGUGAAGAAGCGUUUCGGCGCGUAAAGCCCUGUCAGCAGGGAAGAAGAUGACGGUACCUGACCAAGAAGCCCCGGCUAACUACGUGCCAGCAGCCGCGGUAAUACGUAGGGGGCAAGCGUUAUCCGGAUUUACUGGGUGUAAAGGGAGCGUAGACGGCCAUGCAAGCCAGGGGUGAAAGCCCGGGGCCCAACCCCGGGACUGCCCUUGGAACUGCAUGGCUGGAGUGCGGGAGGGGG
rnacentral:rRNA from 1 species